rnacentral:rRNA from 1 species
ACAGCAGUAGCCGCGGUAAUACGAGGGGAGCUAGCGUUAUUCGGAAUUACUGGGCGUAAAGCGCACGUAGGCGGCUUUGUAAGUUAGAGGUGAAAGCCCAGAGCUUAACUCUGGAAUUGCCUUUAAGACUGCAUCGCUUGAAUCCAGGAGAGGUGAGUGGAAUUCCGAGUGUAGAGGUGAAAUUCGUAGAUAUUCGGAAGAACACCAGUGGCGAAGGCGGCUCACUGGACUGGUAUUGACGCUGAGGUGCGAAAGCGUGGGGAGCAAACAGGAUUAGAUACCCGGGUAGUCCCUGUCUCUUAUAC